GGCGCUCUGGCCGGUCAGCAAGCAGCUCUACCGCCGCCUCAACUGCCGCCUCGCCUACUCACUCUGGAGCCUAGCACAAAACUAGAAGCCACCCAAGCACCUGUCACUGGAGACUAAUUAUGCUGUGCCCAUACAGGGACCGUCUGCGGCCAUCAUGGAGAGCUUCAUCUUGCCCGUACAGUUUUAGGUGAAAAGGAAGAGUAUAUGACAAAGCCCAUAGUGUCUCCUGCGGGCGCUCCCUGACCAUCCCAGGAGGAGGGGUUCCACCGGUGCCAACGCCCUCCCUCUGUCCGCAGAACUGGUCAUGCUGCUGGAGUGGUGGUCCUGCACGGAGUGCACGCUGUUCACGGACCAGGCCACGGUAGAGCGCUUUGGGAAGGAGCACGCGGUCAUCAUCCUCAACCACAACUUCGAGAUCGACUUCCUCUGUGGGUGGACCAUGUGUGAGCGCUUCGGAGUGCUGGGGAGCUCCAAGGUCCUCGCUAAGAAGGAGCUACUCUACGUGCCCCUCAUCGGCUGGACGUGGUACUUUCUGGAGAUCGUGUUCUGCAAGAGGAAGUGGGAGGAGGACCGGGACACCGUGGUCGAAGGGCUGAGGCGCCUGUCCGACUACCCC
rnacentral:sRNA from 1 species